ACGCUGGCGGCAGGCCUAACACAUGCAAGUCGAGCGGUAGAGAGAAGCUUGCUUCUCUUGAGAGCGGCGGACGGGUGAGUAAUGCCUAGGAAUCUGCCUGGUAGUGGGGGAUAACGUUCGGAAACGGACGCUAAUACCGCAUACGUCCUACGGGAGAAAGCAGGGGACCUUCGGGCCUUGCGCUAUCAGAUGAGCCUAGGUCGGAUUAGCUAGUUGGUGAGGUAAUGGCUCACCAAGGCGACGAUCCGUAACUGGUCUGAGAGGACGACCAGCCACACUGGAACUGAGACACGGUCCAGACUCCUACGGGAGGCAGCAGUGGGGAAUUUUGGACAAUGGGCGCAAGCCUGAUCCAGCAAUGCCGCGUGAGUGAAGAAGGCCUUCGGGUUGUAAAGCUCUUUUGUCAGGGAAGAAACGGUGGGAGCUAAUAUCUCCUGCUAAUGACGGUACCUGAAGAAUAAGCACCGGCUAACUCUGUGCCAGCAGCCGCGGUAAUACAGAGGGUGCAAGCGUUAAUCGGAAUUACUGGGCGUAAAGCGCGCGUAGGUGGUUCGUUAAGUUGGAUGUGAAAUCCCCGGGCUCAACCUGGGAACUGCAUUCAAAACUGACGAGCUAGAGUAUGGUAGAGGGUGGUGGAAUUUCCUGUGUAGCGGUGAAACGCGUAGAUAUAGGAAGGAACACCAGUGGCGAAGGCGACCACCUGGACUGAUACUGACACUGAGGUGCGAAAGCGUGGGGAGCAAAC
rnacentral:rRNA from 1 species